rnacentral:misc_RNA from 1 species
AUGUAUGCUUCUCUUUUCCUUCCAUUCAGAAAAUUCACAUUUAAAGAUAAGAAAUCCAAAAAGAUUCCUGUUGUCAACCAUAUUUUCCGGGAUUCUCUCAAGCGAAAAGUUAGCGAUGCUGAAACAGUUGUUAACGUACAUCAGGCCUUGGAGAAGUUUUUGUCCUUGAUUCCUCUUCUUGUAUCUAAAGAGGAAAUUCAACCCAAUGGACUUGAUUGGGGUGUUG